rnacentral:rRNA from 1 species
ACUCCUACGGGAGGCAGCAGUGGGGAAUAUUGCACAAUGGGGGAAACCCUGAUGCAGCCAUGCCGCGUGUGUGAAGAAGGCCUUCGGGUUGUAAAGCACUUUCAGCGAGGAGGAAGGGUGUGUGCUAAUACCAUACAUCUGUGACGUUACUCGCAGAAGAAGCACCGGCUAACUCCGUGCCAGCAGCCGCGGUAAUACGGAGGGUGCGAGCGUUAAUCGGAAUUACUGGGCGUAAAGCGUGCGCAGGCGGUUUGUUAAGCGAGAUGUGAAAGCCCCGGGCUCAACCUGGGAAUUGCAUUUCGAACUGGCAAGCUAGAGUCUUGUAGAGGGGGGUAGAAUUUCAGGUGUAGCGGUGAAAUGCGUAGAGAUCUGAAGGAAUACCGGUGGCGAAGGCGGCCCCCUGGACAAAGACUGACGCUCAUGCACGAAAGCGUGGGGAGCAAACAGGAUUAGAUACCCUGGUAGGCUCU